GUUAUGUCUCCUUUGUCAGAAAUCUGUUGAUACUGUGUAUGUCUAUUUCCAGACUGGCUCCUCUACUCCAUUGUUUUUAUUUAUUUAUUUUUUCAAGCAUCAUACUAUUUUACCUUUUGUCACAUAUGAACUUAUUUGAUGUCAGUGUUGCUCCUCUGAUGUUGCUCUGCUUUGAUGAGUCUGGAAUUCUGAUGUUAAUUCUUUUGAUACUUAUGCCCAGUUACAGUGCUGGUACAGAGGAAAGAAGUCAGCUUUUAUGUGGUGACUCUGUCCUGCAGCCUGGUUGUGAUCUCCAGGAGGUCGUCCCUCCCCCCCAGCUGAGGACUGAACCCACAGAAGGUCUUUUUGUUGGAAUUUUCCACAUAGACAAUGGGAUAAUCAGAACAAAGACUUUUUGG
rnacentral:lncRNA from 1 species